AGUAACCUGCCUUGGAGUGGGGAAUAACAGAUGGAAACAUCUGCUAAUACCGCAUAAUACGUCUGUGUCGCAUGGCACUGGACGUCAAAGAUUUAUCGCUCUGAGAUGGACUCGCGUCUGAUUAGCUGGUUGGCGGGGUAACGGCCCACCAAGGCGACGAUCAGUAGCCGGACUGAGAGGUUGGCCGGCCACAUUGGGACUGAGACACGGCCCAGACUCCUACGGGAGGCAGCAG
rnacentral:rRNA from 1 species